rnacentral:SRP_RNA from 1 species
GCCGGGUGCAGUGGCGUGCGCCUGUAAUCCAAGUUGCUGGGAGGCUUAGGCUGGCGGAUCGUUUGAGCUCAGGAGUUCUGAGCUCCAGUGGACUAUGCCGAUCGGGUGUCCGCACUAAGUUCGGUAUCGAUAUGGUGCUCCUGGGGGAGCCCGGGACCACCAGGUCGUCUAUAGGAGGGGUGCACCGGCCCAGGUCGGAAACGGAGCAGGCCAAAGCCCCCGUGCCGCUCAGUAGUGGGAUCGCGCCUGUGAAUAGACGCUGUAGUGCAGCCUGAGCAAUAUAGCGGGACACAGUCUUUU